GUAGGUGGCAAGCGUUGCCCGGAAUUAUUGGGCGUAAAGCGCGCGCAGGCGGUUCUUUAAGUCUGAUGUGAAAGCCCACGGCUCAACCGUGGAGCGUCAUUGGAAACUGGAGAACUUGAGUACAGAAGAGGAAAGCGGAAUUCCACGUGUAGCGGUGAAAUGCGUAGAGAUGUGGAGGAACACCAGUGGCGAAGGCGGCUUUCUGGUCUGUAACUGACGCUGAGGCGCGAAAGCGUGGGGGGAGCAAACAGGAUUAGAUACCCUGGUAGUCCACGCCGUAAACGAUGAGUGCUAAGUGUUAGGGGGUUUCCGCCCCUUAGUGCUGCAGCUAACGCAUUAAGCACUCCGCCCGGGGUAGUACGGCCGCAAGGCUG
rnacentral:rRNA from 1 species